CUCUAUUGGAAUCCAUUGGAGUGUUGGGAGAAAGGAGGUGCCCCCCCUUGGGUUGUGCCGUGGCGGAGAUCUUUGUGGGCUAUACUCGGCCUUGUCUCAGGAUGGUAAGUUGGUGGUUGAAGGUAUCCCUCUAGUGGUGUGGGGGCUGUGCUUUGUCAAAGUGGGUGGGGUUAUAUCCUACCUGUUUGGCCCUGUCCGGGGGUAUCAUCGGAUGGGACCACAGUGUCUCCUGACCCCUCCUGUCUCAGCCUCCAGUAUUUAUGCUGCAGUAGUUUAUGUGUCAGGGGCUAGGGUCAGUCUGUUAUAUCUGGAGUAUUUCUCCUGUCUUAUCCGGUGUGAAUUUAAGUAUGCUCUCUCUAAUUCUCUCUUUCUCUCUUUCUUUCUUUCUCUCUCGGAGGACCUGAGCCCUAGGACCAUGCCUCUCGACUACCUGGCCGGAUGACUCCUUGCUGUCCCCAGUCCACCUGGCGGUGCUGCUGCUCCAGUUUCAACUGUUCUGCCUGCGGCUAUGGAACCCUGACCUGUUCACAGGACGUGCUACCUGUCCCAGACCUGCUGUUUUCAACUCUCUAGAGACAGCAGGAGCGGUAGAGAUACUCUCAAUGAUCGACUAUGAAAAGCCAACUGACAUUUACUCCUGAGGUGCUGACCUGUUGCACCCUCGACAACUACUGGGAUUAUUAUUAUUUGACCAUGCUGGUCAUUUAUGAACAUUUGAACAUCUUGGCCAUGUCCUGUUAUAAUCUCCACCCGGCACAGCCAGAAGAGGACUGGCCACCCCUCAUAGCCUGGUUCUUCUCUAGGUUUCUUCCUAGGUUUUGGCCUUUCUAGGGAGUUUUUCCUAGCCACCGUGCUUCUACACCUGCAUUGCUUGCUGUUUGCGGUUUUACACUGUGUUUCUCUACAGCACUGAUAUAUCAGCUGAUCUAAGUAGGGCUAUAUAAAUACAUUUGAUUUGAUAAAUCUGACCAUAAUUCUAUCCUUCUGAUUCCUGCUUAUAAGCAAAAACUAAAGCAGGAAGUACCAGUGACUCACUCAGUACGGAAGUGGUCAGAUGACACAGAUGCUACACUACAGGACUGUUUUGCUAGCACAGACUGGAAUAUGUUCCGGGAUUCAUCCAAUAGCAUUGAGGAGCAUACCAACUCAGUCACUGGCUUCAUUAAUAAGUGCAUCGAUAACGACGUCCCCACAGUGACAUAACCCAACCAGAAGCCAUGGAUUACAGGCAACAUCCACACCGAGCGAAAGGCUAGAGCUGCCGCUUUCAAGGAGUGGGACACUAAUCCGGGCGCUGACAAGAAAUCCCAAUAUGCCCUCAGAUGAACCAUCAAACAGGCAAAGCAUCAAUACAGGACAAAGAUUGAAUCCUACUACACCGGCUCUGACGCUCGUCGGAUGUGGCAGGGCUUGCAAACUAUUACGGACUACAAAGGGAAACCCAGACGCGAGCUGCCCAGUGACGUGAGCCUACCAGACGAGCUAAAUGCCUUUUAUGCUCGCUUCGAGGCAAGCAACACUGAAUCAUGCUUGAGAGCACCAGCUGUUCCGGAUGACUGUGUGAUUACGCUCUCCGUAUCCGAUGUGAGCAAGACCUUUAAACAGGUCAACAGACCACCAUAGUCCCUGUGCCCAAGAAAGUGAAGGUAACCUGCCUAAAUUACUACCACCACGUCGGUAGUGCUUUGAAAGGCUGGUCAUGGCUCACAUCAACACCAUCAUCCCGGAAACCCUAGACUACAGCUCAGCGUUCAACACCAUAGUGCCCACAAAGCUCAUCACUGAGGACCCUGUGACUAAACACCUCCCUCUGCAACUGGAUCCUGGACUUCCUGAUGGGCCGCCCCCAGGUGGUAAGGGUAGGUAACAACACGUCUGCCACACUGAUCCUCAACACUCGGGCCUCUCAGGGGUGUGUGCUUAGUGCCCUCCUGUACUCCCUGUUCAUCCACGACUGCGUGUCCAAACAUGAAUCCAACACCAUCAUUAAGUUUGCUGACGACACAACAGUAGUAGGCCUGAUCACCGACAACGAUGAGACAUCCUAUUGGAAGGAGGUCAGAGACCUGACAGUGUGGUACCAGGACAACAACCUCUCCCUCAACGUGAGCAAGACAUAAGAGCUGAUUGCGGACUACAGGAAAAGGAGGGCCGAAAGCUCCUAAUCACAUCAAUGGGGCUAUAGUGGAGCGGGUCGAGAGUUUCAAGUUCCUUGUUGUCCACAUCACCAACAAACUAUUAUGGUCCAAAUACACCAAGACAGUCGUGAAGAGGGCACGACAACACAUUUUCCCCCUCAAGAUUUGGCAUUGGUCCCCAGAUCCUCAAAAAAAAUUCUACAGCUGCACCACAGAGAGCAUCCUGACUGGUUGCAUCACCGCCUGGUAUGGCAACUGCUCGGCAUCAGAUGGUAAGACGCUACAGAGGGUAGUGCGUAUGGCCCUGUACAUCACUGGGGCCAAGCUCCUAUAGGUCCUGGAAGGCAGGAUAUACUAGGUGGUGUCAGAGGAAGGCCCAAAUACUUGUCAAAGACUCCAGUCACCCAAGUCAUAGACUGUUCUCUCUGCUACCGCACGGCAAGCAGUACCGGAGUGCCAAGUCUAGGUUCAAAAAGCUCCUUAACAGCUUCUACCCCCAAGCCAUAAGUCUGCUUAACAAUUAAUCAAAUGGCCACCCGGACUAUUUACAUUUACACUGCUGAUACUUGCUGUUUAUUAUCUAUGCAUAGUCACUUUACCCCUACCUACAUAUACAAAUUACCUCGACUAACCUGUACCCCUGCACAUUGACUCGGUACCAGUACCCCCCGUUUAUAGCCUCAUUAUUAUUUUAUUG
rnacentral:lncRNA from 1 species